rnacentral:rRNA from 1 species
UACAGAGGUCUCAAGCGUUGUUCGGAUUCAUUGGGCGUAAAGGGUGCGUAGGUGGCGCCGUAAGUCAGGUGUGAAAUCUCGGGGCUCAACCCCGAAACUGCACUUGAUACUGCGGUGCUUGAGUACUGGAGAGGAGAUUGGAAUUUACGGUGUAGCAGUGAAAUGCGUAGAUAUCGUAAGGAAGACCAGUGGCGAAGGCGAAUCUCUGGACAGUUACUGACACUGAGGCACGAAGGCCAGGGGAGCAAACGGG